rnacentral:misc_RNA from 1 species
GAACACUUGACAGGGAUAUGCCACUGGGAAACUACACCUUGCAUGUCGAUGAAGGCCUGACGAUAAAGAUCUGCAUGUAUGAUGAGGCAGAUCACUUGCCUGUUCAUACAGAGGAUAAAACCUUUUACUCCGAGGAUGAUUUCCGUAACUUCUUAUCACGCAGAGGCUGGUCAUGUUUAAGAGAGUAUAAUGGAUAUCGAAAUGUUGAUAGUAUGGAUGAGCUUUGCCCUGGUGCCGUCUAUCGUGGUGUCAACUAAGGUGGAUCAGUAUGGCCUUGUCCAAAAUUGUGAUAUUUUGCUCAAAAAAGCUCAUUUAGAUAGUCUUAAGUUGUAUAGAUGGUUCUAGCUAUACCUAAUAGUAGCAAAUGGGAGCUAGAUGAAGUAGGGAAGGAC